CCUCCAUGAACUUACGGCCAGGGCUACACACGUGCUACAAUGGCGCGUACAGAGGGCUGCAAGCUAGCGAUAGUGAGCGAAUCCCAAAAAGCGCGUCGUAGUCCGGAUCGGAGUCUGCAACUCGACUCCGUGAAGUCGGAAUCGCUAGUAAUCGCAAAUCAGAAUGUUGCGGUGAAUACGUUCCCGGGCCUUGUACACACCGCCCGUCACACCAUGGGAGUGGGUUGCACCAGAAGUAGAUAGCUUAACCUUCGGGAGGGCGUUUACCACGGUGUGAUUCAUGACUGGGGUGAAGUCGUAACAAGGUAACCCUAGGGGAACCUGCGGUUGGAUCCAGUCCUA
rnacentral:rRNA from 1 species